UACGUAGGGGGCAAGCGUUGUCCGGAAUCAUUGGGCGUAAAGCGCGUGUAGGCGGCUCGAUAAGUCUGCUGUGAAAAGUCCAGGGCUCAACCCUGGGAUGCCGGUGGAUACUGUCGAGCUCGAGUCCGGAAGAGGCGAGUGGAAUUCCUGGUGUAGCGGUGAAAUGCGCAGAUAUCAGGAGGAACACCAAUGGCGAAGGCAGCUCGCUGGGACGUGACUGACGCUGAGACGCGAAAGCGUGGGGAGCAAACAGG
rnacentral:rRNA from 1 species